CCCCAGUCCUACUCUCCCCAGUUGUUACUCCCAGCCAGCAGCACCGUCCAGGGCCCGGCCGCACGCUACAACUAGAACCAACCCCAGCCCCGGUGCAGUGCACAGCCAGUGUAGCUAGGCUCUCUCGCAGCGAGAGCAGGACGCAGGACGGCUAGCUAGCUUUGAUCGGCCGGCCGGAUCGGAGUGCUCGUGUGUCGGGGGCCAUGGCCGGCGCCGCGGGCGACAGGGCGGAAGGUGUGGGCGGUGGCGGGGACUGGCCGCCGUUCGCCGGCGACGCCUUCGCGGAGUACUCGUCGUCGGUGUUCGCGGAGCUCGGUGGAUGGUCGGAUGGCCUUGGCGCGGGCGCCGGGGAGCUGCCGCCGCUGGAUCUGCCGGCGGCGAGCGCGUCCGGGCCGGUCCCGAUGGCGCGGUCGGACGAGAUCAUGCCGGCCGCGUCAGGCGAGCCCGCAGGCGCCGCCUCCUCCUGCUCCAGCGGCGACGGCGCCGCAGCCGCCGCGGAGAACGCCGACAAGCCGCAGGAGGCCGCCGACGCAGCGAGCAUGAAGCCGGCGGCGGCGGCAGGGAAGAAGGGGCAGAAGCGGGCGCGGCAGCAGCGGUUCGCCUUCGUGACCAAGAGCGAAGUUGAUCACCUCGAGGAUGGGUACAGAUGGAGGAAGUAUGGGCAGAAAGCCGUCAAGAACAGCCCUUUCCCAAGGAGCUACUACCGGUGCACCAACAGCAAGUGCACCGUGAAGAAGCGGGUGGAGCGGUCGUCGGAGGACCCCUCCGUGGUGAUCACCACCUACGAGGGCCAGCACUGCCACCACCAGACCUCCUUCCAGCGCGGCGGCAUGCACUUCCACGGCGCCGCCACCGUUGCGCUCGCCGAGCAGAUGUCGUUCGUGUCAACUCAGCAGCUGUACAACCUGCCGCCCCUGCGCCGACAACAGAUGAAUCCUGCAUCGUCGGAGUCCGCCGUUAGCUCCGUGCCGCCGUCUUUGCAGCAGCUCAACGGCGGCGACGAACUGCGAAGGUCAACUAGCUAUAGCCCCACGGCGUCCGCGGUGCAGACACCGUCGUCGUCGUUGGUGCCUCCGGACGUUUCCUUUGACAUGGGACUGCUUGGCGACAUCGUGCCUCCAGGAGUAAGAAAUGGAUGACGAUCUAUAAUGGUAAUUAUUUUAAGAUAAUAGGUUUAUAAGCGAGAACGGCUACGGUGUGGACGAGCUCAUGCGCUCCCGCUAGCUGGACGAACGACUCCAUGACGCGUAGCACAGCAUAUUUACUGCUAUGGUGUGCAUUGACGUCGAGUACAGGUGCUCCACCGUCCAAACUAACCCGAAAGUAGCGGCUCAGCUUCGUGUUGUUCCGUUGGAACAUGAAUGUCGGAGUGGCCCAUAACCGAAUGCCGCCGUCAACUUCCGCUACUGAGAUGGCGUCCUCCGAAAGGGUACUUGGGUGCCCAACUCUCAAAAGUAAAUGGGUACCCAUGUUUGGGCCCAUGGUUGUCUCAGCGUCGCUGACCAGUAAAAGAAAUAUAUCUUCCUUCUCCCAUAGCCGCCUACAGAGCAGGAGCUCAUGGCGAUGCAGAUGUCGCCAUAGCCGCCUACAGAGCAGGAGCUCAUGGCGAUGCAGAUGUCGGCCGCUGGAGGUGUUGAAGUCGAGUUUUUGUCAGAUCCCGUCGACAGAUUUCCACUGCGAGAUCUCGCUGCCGCACAGCCCUUGGUUGCUUACGAGACGUACAAAUCCAUGGAGUGUGAGCCUGCUGAGUCCAGCAUUGGUGAUGUGGGAGACGCUCCGGUCAACAGUAAUUGCAAUGCGAUUGCCUUGUCUGCAGCAGCAUCUGAGCAUUCUACGGGCAAAGACACCCCUGAAUCCCCAGGCUGGAGGAAGAGGUACAACAGUUUGCCAAAUCUUCAGUUAGCAUUAUAUGUGCAGAUGACCUGUUCUUGCGUUAUCUUAAGACGAAUUGUCGGAUAUUCAAAUUCAGCUGUGUAUCACAUGUAAUUAAACACUGCAUUCAACGAUGAGGCCUAAGAAAUUCAAUCCAA